rnacentral:rRNA from 1 species
UACGUAGGGGGCAAGCGUUGUCCGGAAUCAUUGGGCGUAAAGAGCGUGUAGGCGGUCCGGUAAGUCCGCUGUAAAAGUCAAGGGCUCAACCCUUGAAAGCCGGUGGAUACUGCCGGGCUAGAGUCCGGAAGAGGCGAGUGGAACUCCUGGUGUAGCGGUGAAAUGCGCAGAUAUCAGGAGGAACACCGGUGGCGAAGGCGGUUCUCUGGGCAUGUCCUGACGCUGAGGAGCGAAAGCGUGGGGAGCAAACAGG